rnacentral:rRNA from 1 species
UACGUAGGGGGCAAGCGUUGUCCGGAAUUAUUGGGCGUAAAGAGCGUGUAGGCGGUCCGGUAAGUCAGCUGUGAAAGUCAAGGGCUCAACCCUUGAAAGCCGGUUGAUACUGUCGGGCUAGAGUCCGGAAGAGGCGAGUGGAAUUCCCGGUGUAGCGGUGAAAUGCGCAGAUAUCGGGAGGAACACCAAUGGCGAAGGCGGCUCUCUGGGACGGUACUGACGCUGAGACGCGAAAGCGUGGGGAGCGAACGAGG